rnacentral:rRNA from 1 species
CUACGCACUCCUACGGGAGGCAGCAGUGGGGAAUAUUGCACAAUGGGCGCAAGCCUGAUGCAGCCAUGCCGCGUGUAUGAAGAAGGCCUCGGGUUGUAAAGUACUUUCAGCAGUGAGGAAGGUGGGUAUGUUAAUAGCAUAUUCAUUUGACGUUAGCUGCAGAAGAAGCACCGGCUAACUCCGUGCCAGCAGCCGCGGUAAUACGGAGGGUGCGAGCGUUAAUCGGAAUUACUGGGCGUAAAGCGCAUGCAGGUGGUUUGUUAAGUCAGAUGUGAAAGCCCGGGGCUCAACCUCGGAAUUGCAUUUGAAACUGGCAAACUAGAGUACUGUAGAGGGGGUAGAAUUUCAGGUGUAGCGGUGAAAUGCGUAGAGAUCUGAAGGAAUACCGGUGGCGAAGGCGGCCCCCUGGACAGAUACUGACACUCAGAUGCGAAAGCGUGGGGAGCAAACAGGAUUAGAUACCCUGGUAG